rnacentral:rRNA from 1 species
GCUUACGGCCACACCUCCCUGAGCACGCCCGAUCUCGUCUGAUCUCGGAAGCUAAGCAGGGUCGAGGCCCGGUUAGUAAUAGGAUGGGAGAUCCGCCUGGGAAUACCAGGUGCUGUAAGCC